rnacentral:rRNA from 1 species
CCUACGGGCGACAGCAGUAGGGAAUCUUCCACAAUGGGCGAAAGCCUGAUGGAGCAACGCCGCGUGGGUGAAGAAGGUCUUCGGAUCGUAAAACCCUGUUGUUAGAGAAGAAAGUGCGUGAGAGUAACUGUUCACGUUUCGACGGUAUCUAACCAGAAAGCCACGGCUAACUACGUGCCAACAGCCGCGGUAAUACGUAGGUGGCAAGCGUUAUCCGGAUUUAUUGGGCGUAAAGGGAGCGCAGGCGGUCUUUUAAGUCUGAUGUGAAAGCCUUCGGCUUAACCGGGGUAGUGCAUUGGAAACUGGGGGACUUGAGGGGAGGAGAGGGGAGUGGAACGCGAGGUGUUGCGGUGAAAUGCGUAGAUAGAUGGAAGAACACCAGUGGCGAAGGCGGCUCUCUGGUCUGUAACUGACGCUGAGGUUCGAAAGCGUGGGUAGCGAACAGGAUUAGAUACCCCAGUAGUC